AUUUGAGAAGCAUGGAUACCAAGAUAAAGUGCUGGGAAGAUAGGCAAGCUGAAAGCAAUGGUGUAGAGUAGGACUUCACUGCUACUGAAAUAAACUAAAAUCCUUCUAGUCCAGUUUUGCCUUCUGCUGUUGUCUUUCUGCUAUUCAGGAGUCUUCAGAUUUCUUCCCAGUUUUGAAAUCAAGAUUGAUUAACCAACACAAAAAGACCCAGCUGGUUA
rnacentral:lncRNA from 1 species